GGGGAGUGGAAGGCGCCUUGUCAACCCACCAACAGCGGCGGCUGUGGAUCAAAACAAACACCAACAGGUGUAACUUAAACCUGUGAAAACUGCUGUCGCGCCCCCGGGGCGAGUCUCCCAGGGUAUGGUCGGGUUCCAGCUGUAACUGUAACCUGUUGUGUGUCUGCAGGGACUCGCACCCGGGUCCCGACGUUGUCCUGUCUGAAGGGAAGAUGUACUAGCCUACCCAGGGCGUAACCCCCUUUCUACUGUGCGG